rnacentral:lncRNA from 1 species
CAAGUCUCCUCCUCCACCGUCGCCUUCUCCUCCACCUCCAUACUAUUACCACUCUCCACCCCCUCCAGUAAAGUCUCCUCCUCCUGCCUAUUACUAAAGCUCACCUCCUCCACCCGUGAAAUCACCACCUCCACCAGUAUACAUUUAUGCUUCUCCGCCACCUCCAAUCCACUACUAAGUAUUUCUAAGAGCUCAGCCAUUCUCCACAAUCAAUCAAGUGAGUUGCUGUUUGAAUUGUGUAUUCUUUUUUUCCAUAUGAAAUCAACUUUUUAUUUUUAUUUUUCUUUGAAUUAAGUUCUGAUCUUCUAUUUUAUUGUUUCUUUUCAGAUUUUAGUUUGAAGCACUAAAAUAUAAAAGCUAGCUUCUUGAGAAAAAGAUUCAAACGUCAAAUGAUACAAAGCAACUAAUUUAUGGAAUAAGAUAUUCAACCUUUCAAUUGAAGGAUUGAUUCUUAUUGCACAUUGUUCUCUAGUGCAUUCACGUGGACAAGGCUACAAUGACUUUGAUUCUUCAUAUAUAGAGUUUGUUUUUUUCGUAAUUUAUUGGUGUAUUGAGGAUGUCCUCGUUUUAUUCAUUUCUUAUUAGUUAUUGCAAGUUGUUUUCUUGUAAUACCUUGGUGUACUUUGUGCACAAAUCAAU